rnacentral:tRNA from 1 species
UCCGAAGUAGCCCAGUGGUAGAGCAAUCGACUGUUAAUCGAUUGGUCGUAGGUUCGAGUCCUACCUUCAGAG